AUGCACCCUGGGUUUAUACUUUUUUCAUUGCCUGCCCCACCAAAAUCAUCUUUACUCCUUCGACCCCCAACUGUGGGUCGGCUGAUGCAAUUUUGCACAUUGUGGCUGAAAGAAGGGAAAGAGCACUCCAGUGUUGCAUCGGCUGAUACACAUUGGAACCCAGUACUAGGCCUGAGGCAGAAUGGGAUUAACUUCAGGGAGUGGAAGAUGCUGCAAUGGUCUACUUCCCACCCAAAAGCUGACCUCAAUUCCAUCCAUUGAUGUCACCCAUGUUGACUAAAGACGAGCUGGCAACAAUUCAGAAUGGACUUGGUUCAAGUUGAUCUUCGUUGCUGACAACACAGCUGAUCUGUGAAGUACACAAGACAUGCACGUUAGAAAAGAAGGUCACUGAGAACAGGCUGAGGUAGGAUGUGCGACAUUUGCACAGGCUAUCUGUGAUUAUCACAUGCCACACACUGGCUCCAAGGGCCCUUCCACACAGUCCUAUAUGCCAGAAUAUCAAGGCAUUUCCCACAAUAUCUGGUUUAAACUGAGUUAUCCGAGUUCACACUCAGAUUACGUGGGAUUUUCUGCUUAGAUAUUCUGGGAUAUAGGGCUGUAUGGAAGGGCACUAUGAGUCAUCAAUGGCUGCACUUUAAAUGGAAAGAGAUUUCAAGUGGAGUGCCUUCGAGUUUUGUCCUGGGACUAUUACUCUUCCAAUGUUUUUUUAAUCAACAAAUUAAACAAUAAGAGUGGAGGGCGCCCUUCUCUGGUUUCCAUAUGACCCAAAACUGAGUAAAUUCUGAUUGAACAUCUGAAGAAGCUUCUUGACAGUGAGAACAGUUUAGCUUUGGAACCAACAGCACUGUAUUAAAACCUUACUGUAUUGAGGUUUUCGUAAGCCUUGGGUACUCUUGUCUUCAACUCCCUAAAGCAGCAUUUCCCAACCUGGAGGUUGGGACCCCUGGGAGGGUUGCAAGGGAGUGUCAGAGGGGUCACCAAAGACCAGUAUUUUCUAUUGGUCAUGGGGGCUCUAUGUGGGAAGUUUGGCUCAAUUAUAUCAUUGGUGGAGUUCAAGGGGCUCUUUGAUUGUAGGUUGUAAUGGAUCUUGCCUACCUUACAGGGUUGGUGAGUGGCCUGCCUUGCAGGGCUGGUGUACGGCCAUUUUGCAAAAGCUCAGCAGAGCAAGAGGGAGGAGCGAUCCGGCAGCCAUUACAGUAAGUGCAGUCUGAUUGGCUGAUGCCAAUGGAGAAGUUGCCUAGCAACUGGAGAUGGGUGGAGCCAAAGUGACAGUUGGAGCUAGGCAGCCAGGAGAAUUCUGUUCAGUUUGAAAUUCAGUCAGAGAGUUGGCUUUUGAAGUGGGAAAAUAAAGAUAGGUUUAGGGGACUGUGCUUUUAGAAAAAAGACCUCUUUGAGGAAUAUAGUUAAAAGCCUUCAGGAAAAGGAAGGGCUGAGAACUAUAUUGUGACUCUAAAGUCUAGAGUGUUGAUGUUAAAUCCCAGAGGUGGAUUUCCAAUAUUUUCUGUUGGUCAUGGGUGUUCGGAGUGCCAAGGUUGGCUC
rnacentral:lncRNA from 1 species